rnacentral:lncRNA from 1 species
CUAAAUCAAGUCCAUUUUAUUUGAAAUUUUCCACAUGCCACACAUGUACAUGAAAAUUCCCAUCCAGAAUGUAGUUUGCUACAGUGAACACCAAAGUCAGGAGCAGGCAUCACCGUGAGACACCACGGGGGCAAGUCAGUGGGACGGGGACAGGGAGGUUGGUCAUCGAAAGGCAGGUGAUGCAUGUCGGGUCAUUUAGCACCUGGUCAUGAGAUACGGCGAGACCCCCGGGGCCAGGGAAAGGUCACCCCUUAAAACCACGUGGAGGUCUGCUGUCUCUGGGCAGUCUCACGUGGAUGGACAAUGCUCAGAGGGUGGCGAAGGGGCUGGAGGAAGAUACCACCGACGGCUGCAGGGGAGGGGCACGCACACACACAGGCACGCACAUGCUUGCCCAUGAACACCCCCCGGGCACACACACACACACCCUUGCACACUCCCCACCCUCCGCCCCAGACACAUCAACACGGCGGUCCAGGCUCUGGCUCACUCCCUGGGAGGCUUCUGUGGCCAGGGUUCCCACGGCGGGUCUGGUGGCAACAGCUUGGAGAAAAGCCUCCCGGGACCAACCCUCAUUCCCAGGUCCACUGAUCUGGGGUGGGAGCAGCCAGGUGUUCUGACCGGCGGUUUUCCCGUAAACCGACCCCUUCAGCGUUUCUGCUUUUUGUUGUUUGUUUUCUGAGACAGGGUAUUGCUCUGUCGCCCAGGGUGGAGGGCAAUGGUGUGAUCUUGGCUCACUGCAACCUCCAACUCCUGGGCUCAAGCAAUCCUCCUGCCUCAGCCUCCUGAGUAGCUGGGACCACAGGUACACAUAUGGUGCCCAGAUAACUUUUUUUUUUUUAAAUUUUACGUAGAGAUAGAGUCUCACUAUGUUGCCCAGGCUGGUCUCGAACUCCUGGGCUCAAGCGAUCCUCCUGCCCCAGCCUCCCAAAGUGCUGGGAUGACAGGCGUAAGCCACUGUGCCCAGCCCCUCCCAUGUUUCUCGAAGGAGCUUUAGAGAGCAGAGGAGCCCCGAUGACAGCCCGAGUCACUGCCACCACUGGGUUCUUCAGUGUCUGUGGGGUUUAUGUUCAUCAUGCUCAGUAGAUCUAGCAACUUUUUUUUUUUUCUUUCUUGAGACAGAGUCUCACUCUGUCGCCCAGGCUGGAGUGCAGUGGCAUGAUCUCAGCUCACUGCAAGCUCCGCCUCCCAGGUUCAUGGCAUUAUCCUGCCUCAGCCUCCCGAGUAGCUGGGACUACAGCGCUGCCUGCUGGGGGAUCAAGGUGCCCACAUCCAGGCCUCCAGCACCCUCCAUCCCUGCAGGAGCACUGCUGGCACCACCAAGGCCGGGGCACUGGUCUGGAGCUUCACUGGCUGGCAGGGGCCCAGCCCUCAGCUGUUGCAGCCCUACUGCUCUAGGUCCGGCCCCUCCACAAGCCCUCCAGGUCCAAGCCUGAGCCCAGCCCUGGUCCCCUGGGUCCAAAACCCUGCGGCUCUGGGUCUGGGCACAGGGUGUGGUUGAGGGAGGGUGCUGCUGAGCUGGCAGGCACCCCUUGUCUGUUUUUAGCGCCAGAGUAGCUCAGCCCGUCCUGACUGCAACCCUGGGUCGAAGCAGCGAGUGUCUUCCCGCCCUGUGCACACACAGGUCCCGGGAGGGCCUCUUGGAGAAGAAACCGCUCAGGCCCGUGUCCUGGCAGGGCCUCUGGGGGCAGCAGAUGGCAGGGAUAGAGCCCGCCCCCUCUGCUGCAGAAGGAAGCGGCCCUCACCCAGCUCCCCUGGGUUGGACGGGCCAUUGAAAACAAGAAAAGCCUCCCAUAGCAGAAAGGAGUACUCAAGGCCCAGAAAGGCAGCUUUGCUCUGGGUCAUCAGGCUCAAGUGCCUGCUCUGGGCCGCCUUCGGAAGCCUGGUGGGGCCCAGUGUUGCCUGGUGACGUGGAGCAGGCGGCGGGGCAGAGGCUGCGGGACACGGGGCCGCAGGGCCAGGAGGGGGUCAGGAGAAUAAAUAGCAGCUAGGUCUGGGGUGAGCUGGGAGCACAGGCAGGAGGGGGCAGCCAGAGAGGUUGGGGCUCUCCCUUUUAAAGCACAAAGGGAUACAUACCCUUUCCCCUCCACCCUCCCUCCAACCCCUCAGUCUCUCCCUCACACACACACGGAAGACGUGACUCUCACACGCAUGCACACACAGGGCACAGGUACCCGCAGGCACACGCACGCAGGCACGGGGACAAGUGCUGACCAUGCUCCUCCGGCAGGCAGCAUAUGGUCCGCUGCUUAACAGCCGAGCUCUGCCAAUUGGGGACCAUUAGGGUGGGUUCUUUUCCCAGCAUCAAAUGCUGCAGAAUAUAAAUUGCAACUAACACUGGUGCCAAAAUAGCACUUAGAGAAAAUAAGCACGUUAUUAACAUCUGGUGAAGCCCAUCUCGGGGGUAGCAGCAGUGGAAAUUCUUGCUCUAAGUCAAAGGAUGGUUGCAGGGGACACUAAAAAUACAAGGUCUACUGUUUCAGGGGUGCUUUCCAAGGCACUGCACCCCAGCCUCAGGAACGGCCCUUCCCCCGGUCCUGUCUAUGAGUAUAAAUUAUGCUGCUGGUUAAAACCACUUGCUCAUGAGAACAGGACACCCAGGCGCGAUCGUACACACGCUAGGAUGCAUUCCUGGAGCAGACACAAUUCUCUGGCCCGAGUGGGGAAUGUUCUGGAGGAAAGGAGUGGGGCGCGGAGCUGCAGUGCCCAGAGACACAGGCCCCCUGAGGGCCCGGGAACCUCCCAGGCCACCUGCCUCCCUCCUGGGCCGCAUCCCCUGCCUGCCACCCCUCAGUCUGAGAGCAAGAAGUGGUCAGUCCCGGGAGGCACCACACCACCCGAUCUGAUCACCGCGCCUGGUGGUCUCCAGGUGCCAUUUUAAAGCUCUAAAGAAAUGCCCAGGAACUGUGGAGGGGGGGUGCUCCCACCACCUUUGAGACCCUCAUCUACAGCCACUGCCCCCUGGGGCCAUGGGCAGCUGGUCCUGCGGCCUGCAGACCAGGAGACGGGGCCUAGGGGUGUGGCUCUCAGAGGCUGUGACAGGAGGGCCAGGAGGCCUCUGGGAGGCGAAGGCUUGGUCUGGUGUGGGUCCCACCAUCGGGCACUGCUGGAAUCAGCCUGCAGAAGGGUCCCUCCGGCCAGGAGGCAAAGGUUCGGCAC